rnacentral:pre_miRNA from 1 species
AAAGUACUCCCUCCGUCCCAAAAUUCUUGUCUUAGAUUUGUCUAGAUACAGAUGUCUCAAGUCACAUUUUAGUAUUAGAUACAUCCGUAUCUAGACAAAUCUAAGACAAGAAAUUUGGGACAGAGGGAGUAGUUG